UGAAAUGUAUCAUUUCAAAAAAAUCUAGAAGCAAAAGAGGAAGCAGAGCCACAGCAGACCUCCCCCUCUCCACCUCCAAGUCCUGAACCAGUUGAGACAGCGGAGCCAGAGCCAGAGCCAGAGCCUGAAUCACAACCUGAGCCAGAGCCAGAGACCAAGGAAGCCAGUCCAGAAGCAGAGCCUAUAACCCAGCAGCCACAGAAAUCUGAGAAAGACGGUCAAAGCCCCAACGCUGACAAAACAUCUGAAAAAGAAGAGGAAGCCACUGGGGAUGACUGUGGAGCUCCAGUCAGCUGUGAUGCAAUUAAGAGCUGCCUGAUGCGCAUUCCGCACACCUCAGAGUGCUUCGGCAACAUCAACGCAUUCUUCAAAGAAAACGGCAUCUCCACUCCCAAAAUACCCUCCAUGCCUAAGCUACCCACCCAGCUCUCUGACGUUACCAAGUACCUACCCUCCCUACCACCUGAAUUGCGCCAAGAGUUCUCCCAGAUCCGACUCACACAGGUCCCGCGAAAUAUUGCCCAAACUCUGACUGAGUUGUUGCCCAAAAGCUCUGAAGGAUCAGUUGGCCCCAGUCUGUCCAGUCUUUCCCAGAGCUUUUCAGACAUCCCGCAGAAGCUCUCCCAGAUUCCUAGCCGGACGCAGCAGUACUUCCUUAACGUCCAGAACCGCCUCAACAGCCUUAUGCCUCAAGAUGCCUAAGAAACAACAACAGCAAAAUCAGCAGAAAGACAAGAAUCAGCACGAUUUAGAGCUCAACCAGCUCAUCCGACACUCCCCUCUCCCUCCUGCUCACCAUCCUCAGCUCCGCUCCCGCUCCCCGUCGCCAUCCUCUCCUAACGGAAGCGCCCUCGAACUGCCAAAUGUGCCAUCCUACCCACGCCUGCCGCCUAUUGUCAGUCCCCCAUCAAAGCAGCUCAACUCACUUUCCCGCCAGCUGUCAGGUCUCUCUAACCCGGCGUUCUUCAUUGAAGACGACUCAGACAUUCCAGCAAUAAGACGUGCAGACAGCUCAAGCAUAAGCCUUCGUCCAGCCGUCAAUGUAGAGGAUGUUGACUCAGAUCAUGAGAUAGGGGGGAGAGGAAGAGGAGGGGAGGGACAGAGCAAUGUUCCCCAAAUCCUAACCCCACAGGACCCAAAACUUACAACCCUAACUGUCCCCGUGACCCCUUCAGGAGGUCGUCAAAGUAAAGGAGAAAAAGAUGGAAGGAAUCGUAGGACUAUCUGGACAAAGAUUAGGAGGCUGCACUCCCAAAGUGAGGACGAUGAUGAUGAAGCAAACAUCCCUGUCAGAGCCUGGCCCAGCCAGUCCAGCCUGCACAGCACAGAUGACAUACUUAAAGAGCGUCCAGCGUCUUCAGCUAGUCAGACCAGUACAGUGGUCAACGAGCGUCUUCAGGAGCUGGUCCGGAUGUUUAAAGAGAGAACCGAGAAGGCUAAGGAGAAACUCAUUGACCCUGACAGCUCAGAUGAAGACAGCAUUAUCCCAUCUCCUCCUCAGGCUUCAGCUCCUCAGCCUGCUCCUGCAGCUCAGCCGGUGGACGAGGGAGAGGCACAAGCAGGUCCAUCAGGAGGAGCCGGAGGGGGAGGAGGAAUAGAAAGUGGAGCAGAGGAGGAGCAGUGUGGCCGCCGCAGCAAGGUGAAAACUCCUCGAUGGAUACAAGCCUGUAUGCACUACCGCUUCCCUGCCAGCAUCGACCCCUUCACCAACCUGAUGUACGUGCUGUGGAUGCUACUGGUCACUCUGGCAUGGAACUGGAACGUGUGGUUCAUCCCUGUGCGCUGGGCGUUUCCCUACCAGACUCCAGACAAUAUUUACUACUGGCUGCUGAUCGACUACCUGUGUGACCUUAUUUACAUUCUGGACAUCAGCAUCUUUCAGCCGCGGCUGCAGUUUAUCCGAGGAGGGGACAUAGUGUUUGAUGUAGCCAGCCUUAUUCCGCUGGAACUCUUCUAUUUUAAAACUGGCGUCAACCCUCUACUUCGCUUACCCAGACUACUGAAGAUCAACUCCUUUUUUGAGUUCAACGAGCGUCUCGAGGCCAUCUUAACCAAAGCCUACAUCUACAGGGUGAUACGUACGACCACCUACCUUCUUUACUGUCUCCACUGCAACGCCUGUCUGUACUACUGGGGCUCUGCCUUCAAUGGACUAGGAUCAACAAAAUGGGUGUAUGAUGGCAAGGGCAACAGUUACAUUCGCUGUUACUACUUUGCGGUGAAGACCCUCAUCACCAUUGGCGGUCUGCCGGACCCCACCACCCUGUUUGAGAUUGUCUUCCAACUUAUCAACUACUUUGUUGGAGUCUUCGCCUUCUCUAUCAUGAUUGGACAGAUGCGUGACGUGGUCGGUGCAGCCACAGCUGGUCAGACUUACUACCGCACAUGUAUGGACAACACGAUUAAAUACAUGUCCUCCUAUCGAAUCCCCAAAGACGUCCAAAACCGUGUCAAAACCUGGUACAACUAUACCUGGCAAUCACAAGGCAUGCUAGAUGAGCAGGAGUUACUGACUCAGUUGCCAGAUAAAAUGCGUCUGGACAUUGCUAUAGAUGUCAACUAUUCCAUCGUCAGCAAAGUCCCCCUUUUCCAGGGUUGUGACAGACAGAUGAUCUUUGACAUGCUGAAAAGCUUACGCUCCGUUGUUUACCUGCCUGGAGAUUAUGUCUGCAAAAAGGGUGAGGUGGGUCGGGAGAUGUACAUCAUAAAAGCAGGGGAGGUGCAGGUGGUUGGAGGGCCUGAUGGAAAGACAGUCUUUGUAACUCUCAGAGCAGGAUCAGUGUUUGGAGAGAUCAGUUUGCUUGCAGUAGGCGGGGUUAACAGGCGCACAGCAAACGUGAUCGCACACGGCUUUGCCAAUCUCUUCAUCCUGGACAAGAAAGACCUGAAUGAGAUCCUGGUCCACUAUCCCGAGUCCAAGAAACUGCUCCGCAAGAAGGCCAGGUUGGACAUCACUGAGGCUAAGGAUCCACCUCAGGUCCCGCCAGCCCCUGUUAGGGCGGAGACCCCUAGACUGCUGAGAGCUGCCCUGGAGAUGACAGAGAGAUCGUCUGGACUUAAAGGAGCUCUGGCUAAAGUCAAAGAGAAGACCAACAAGUCCAGUAUCUCGUUACAGGUAAACAGAGUGAAAACUGAGCAGACCAAAAAAGAAACAGAUGCAUAUGUGGCAGUGGCAAAAUAA
ensembl:lncRNA